rnacentral:rRNA from 1 species
AACGAACGCUGGCGGCAGGCUUAACACAUGCAAGUCGAGCGCCCCGCAAGGGGAGCGGCAGACGGGUGAGUAACGCGUGGGAAUCUACCCAUCUCUACGGAAUAACGCAUGGAAACGUGUGCUAAUACCGUAUACGUCCUUCGGGAGAAAGAUUUAUCGGAGAUGGAUGAGCCCGCGUUGGAUUAGCUAGUUGGUGGGGUAAAGGCCUACCAAGGCGACGAUCCAUAGCUGGUCUGAGAGGAUGAUCAGCCACACUGGGACUGAGACACGGCCCAGACUCCUACGGGAGGCAGCAGUGGGGAAUAUUGGACAAUGGGUGCAAGCCUGAUCCAGCCAUGCCGCGUGAGUGAUGAAGGCCCUAGGGUUAUAAAGCUCUUUCACCGGUGAAGAUAAUGACGGUAACCGGAGAAGAAGCCCCGGCUAACUUCGUGCCAGCCGCCGCGGUAAGAC